UGACCUGAGCUGAGGUCCAAUGCUUAACCCAGUGAGCCACGAAGGCAGGGGCCCUGUGUGAUACUUAUAAGAGAAUAUCUCUCCCACCACCCUCAUUCUCCCUGCUUUAGAGAUCGUAUUGUGGGGACAGGAGACCUGGAGCUGAAGCACGUAUUUUGUGACCACUAGGCAAGAAGCCUGAAGGAAAAUUCCAAAAUAAUAGGAGGAAAGAGAAAACCACCAUUUGGGUCAUUGAGAUCAUACUUGGGCUGGCAAUCAAGUCUUAUUUUUAUUGGUAAUGAAUAUUCUCUGGCUUAAUGCAUGGUUACUGUGGUUUUCUAGUUCCUAGAACAGUGUCUGGAAGGAAAUCCAAAGUGUUUGUUGAUUCAAUAGCUUAAAUUUUGGUCAUUUUCAUGUUCCAAACAUCCAAUAUGGUUCUUCAUAUGCAUUAGCUGAUGGAGAAGCUGAAACCUACAGGCUGUACAGAGGUAUCUCAGGUCAUACCUUUGGUUCAAAUAAAACCCAGAACAGAAGAACUGGAAAGACUGCAGGUGCAGUGACCGGAAGUUCUCUACAGUUGCUAAGAAGACUCUAAGGAUAUUGAAAGUUAAGUAGGGCCACACCUCAGGAGCCACAGGAAAGAUUGGCUGAACUCCAAAAUGAAGAAGAAAAAUACAUAACGAAUCAUUUUCAGUCUCUACUGGCAUCUUCACCACAAAUCUAGUAGACUAAUUAAACACUCUAUGGAUUACAUUCUAUUAAAAACAUGUGUGACUUUCAAAAGACCCAUCAAUUCUUCAAUGGAAAACAUCAACACACAGUCUGCAUCCUAAGAUUCUUGGAAUGUCUUGCCUGAAAAAUCCUUGCCUGCUGUUUUUGACAACCCUGGGCUAUUGUCUCUUAAUCUUUACCCAGUUCUCAUCAAGCUCCCCAGCGAACUAAAUCUCUGAUUCUCAAUUAAUGCUGAAUUCGUUCCCCCACAGAGACAUUACCAAAGCUUUGCAGAGGUUGUGUUCUUCAUUAAUAUAUGUUAACAUCAUCCAUAUAUCUGAUUCAGAUUUUUGAAAAUGUACAGAUGAGCUGUUGCUAUAGGAGAAAAGGCCACAUCUUGAUUGAAUUUCAUAGAUUCCAGGAAGGAUCGUAUUAAUCAUCCUUGUUUAUGUGCACCUAAGACUCUGACUUCUAUUUGGAUAUCAUGUGGUUUUAGGAGGAUGUAACUCCAGCCAUCAGCUUAAAGAAUACAGCAUCUGACCUGCCAUUCUCCUCUUCUCAAUAGACUCUGACUUCUAUUUGGAUAUCAUGUGGUUUUAGGAGGAUGUAACUCCAGCCAUCAGCUUAAAGAAUACAGCAUCUGACCUGGACCAAGCCAGUUGGAACAAUAAACUCCUAUAACCACCAUGACUGGUUUAAGAGUUGACCUAAUCAGAGAGAGGGAAUUUUGAGAAAGCCAAGACCUUCUUUUGCUUCAGAUAGGAUGACCCACAGAUGUGAAGUCUAGAACUCUUGAAGCCAUUGUGUUUUAUUCACAGAACCUACUUACGGAUAAGAAGGGCACACAAAGAAAGAAAGGGGUGAAAAAUUGAAAGCAAGACCGAGACACAGACCGGUUACAUUGUAACCAAACCGUGCCUAAAGCCUGCCCUAUGUCUUGGUCUGUCAUUUAGAGUAGCUAGUAAAUUCUUCUUCUUAUGUUAGUCACUUUGUGUUCAGUUUUCUCUUUCUUGAAAUCGAAAACAUUCUGAUAUAUCCAUUUUCAUGUGUGGCAGAGUAAGAUUCUUUGACUAUGAAAAAUAGGUUUUGGUAUU